rnacentral:rRNA from 1 species
UACGGGGGGAGCAAGCGUUGUUCGGAUUUACUGGGCGUAAAGGGCGCGUAGGCGGCGCCGCAAGUCGACUGUGAAAUCUCCGGGCUUAACCCGGAAAGGUCAGCCGAUACUGGCGGGCUAGAGUGCAGAAGGGGCAACUGGAAUUCUCGGUGUAGCGGUGAAAUGCGUAGAUAUCGAGAGGAACACCUGCGGCGAAGGCGGGUUGUGGCCG